rnacentral:rRNA from 1 species
GAAGCUUGCUUCUUGGGUGGCGAGUGGCGAACGGGUGAGUAAUAUAUCGGAACGUACCGAGUAAUGGGGGAUAACUAAUCGAAAGAUUAGCUAAUACCGCAUAUUCUCUGAGGAGGAAAGCAGGGGACCUUCGGGCCUUGCGUUAUUCGAGCGGCCGAUAUCUGAUUAGCUAGUUGGUGGGGUAAAGGCCUACCAAGGCGACGAUCAGUAGCGGGUCUGAGAGGAUGAUCCGCCACACUGGGACUGAGACACGGCCCAGACUCCUACGGGAGGCAGCAGUGGGGAAUUUUGGACAAUGGGCGCAAGCCUGAUCCAGCCAUGCCGCGUGUCUGAAGAAGGCCUUCGGGUUGUAAAGGACUUUUGUCAGGGAAGAAAAGGCUGUUGCUAAUACCGACAGCUGAUGACGGUACCUGAAGAAUAAGCACCGGCUAACUACGUGCCAGCAGCCGCGGUAAUACGUAGGGUGCGAGCGUUAAUCGGAAUUACUGGGCGUAAAGCGAGCGCAGACGGUUACUUAAGCAGGAUGUGAAAUCCCCGGGCUCAACCUGGGAACUGCGUUCUGAACUGGGUGACUAGAGUGUGUCAGAGGGAGGUAGAAUUCCACGUGUAGCAGUGAAAUGCGUAGAGAUGUGGAGGAAUACCGAUGGCGAAGGCAGCCUCCUGGGAUAACACUGACGUUCAUGCUCGAAAGCGUGGGUAGCAAACAGGAUUAGAUACCCUGGUAGUCCACGCCCUAAACGAUGUCAAUUGGCUGUUGGGCAACUUGAUUGCUUAGUAGCGUAGCUA